UUAUGUUAAGUGAAAUCAGCCAGGCACAGAAAGGCAAAUAUCGCAUGUUGUCAUUCCUUUGUGGGAGCUAAUUUGCACUGUGUAGACAUAUAUCAAAACAUCACAUUGUACACUUUAAAUAUGUACAAUUUUUAUUUGUUAUGGAUCAAUAAAGCUGGGAUUGGGGAUGCAAUGGUAUAAAAACUAACUCUCCUUUCUACUUGUGCAAGUGCAAGAUUCUCAUAUGGGCAGUUGUAUCCAGACUUUUUUUGUGUCCUUCUCAAUGUUUAGCCUCUUACAGUAAAAAAAAAAAAAAAAAUCUAAACUCAAGACUAUGUUUGGGUUUCACCAGUUCUCACUCAUGUUGAUUUCAUGGAGGUGGAGAGUUGAAUGAUGGUUACCAGAGACUGGGGAGGGAAGCGGGAAGGGAGAUGAAGAGAGGCUGGUUAAUGGGUAGAGACACACAGUCAGAGAAAAUGAAUCAGUUCUAGUGUUAAGUAGCAUGGUAGGGUGACUGUAGGUAACAAUAAUUCAUCAUAUAUAGUUGGCCCUUGAACAACAUGGGUUUGAACCACUGGGUCCACUUAUACGCAGAUUUUCUGGAACCAAAUGGGAAGGGAACCAACAGUGUUCUCUGGAUGUCAAACCUGUGUGUAUAGGGAGGGCCAGCUUGUCCUAUAUUUGGGUUCCACAGGGCCAACAGUAGGACUUGAGUAUGCACAGAUUUUGGUAUAUGCGGGGGUCCAGGAACCAGCUUCUCGUGUAUGCUUCAAAAUAGCUAAAAGAGAAGAUUUGGAGUGUGAAGAAAUGAUCAGUGUUUGAGGGAAUGGUGUCAUAAACCCUAACUUGAUCAUUACACAUUGUGUGCAGGCGUCAGGACAUCAUGUGUGCCCUGUAAAUAUGUACAAUUAUAUAUCAAUAACAAGUCAGUAAAAUUAAAGCAAUAACUUACUGGGGUAACAGUCAGAUUUACUUGCUCCAAACAGAUUUUACUUUACUCCUGAUAUGUUACUAGAGAAAGUUUACUUUGAAGUAGUGUAUUUGUAAGCAACCCAGCUGCAAUGAAAGGAGGUAUUUCCAUUAAAAUGUACAGAAGUCUUUAAUUAUAAUUCAUUUCUGGCCAGGCACAGUAACUCAUGCCUGUAAUACCAUCACUUUGGGAGGCCAAGGUGGGAAUGAUUGCUUGAGUCCGGGAGUUCAAGACCAGCCUGGGAAACAGGGAGACCCUGUCUCUUAAAAAAAAAAAAAAAAAAAUAGGCUGGGCGCGGUAGCUCAAGCCUGUAAUCCCAGCACUUUGGGAGGCCGAGACGGGCGGAUCACGAGGUCAGGAGAUCGGGACUAUCCUGGCGAACACGGUGAAACCCCGUCUCUACUAAAAAAUACAAAAAAACUAGCCGAGUGUGGUGGUGGGCGCCUGUAGUCCCAGCUACUCGGGAGGCUGAGGCAGGAGAAUGGCGUGAACCUGGGAGGCAGAGCUUUCAGUGAGCUGAGAUCCGGCCACUGCACUCCAGCCUGGGUGAUAGAGCGAGACUCCAUCUCAAAAAAAAAAAAA
ensembl:lncRNA